UACGUAGGGUGCAAGCGUUAUCCGGAUUCACUGGGCGUAAAGAGUCGUGUAGGCGGUUUGCCGCAUCGCACUUGAAAGCCCGAGGCUUAACCUCGGCGUUGGGUGCGAGAUGGGUAGACUUGAGGGCGACAGAGGAAAAGGGAACUGAUGGUGGAGCAGUGAAAUGCGUUGAGAUCAUCAGGAACACCGAAGGCGAAGGCACUUUUCUGGGUCGCACCUGACGCUGAGACACGAAAGCCGGGGGAGAGAAGCAGAUUAGAGACCUGCGUAUUCCCGGCCCUAAACGCAUGCCUGCUAGUUGCCCUGCGCAAGUGGGGUGACGUAAGCUAACGCGUUAAGCAGGCCGCCUGGGGACUACGAUCGCAAGAUUAAAACUCAAAGGAAUUGACGGGGACCCGCACAACCAGUGGAGCGUGUGGUUCAAUUCGAGACAAAGCGAAACACCUUACCAGGUUUUGACAUGUAACCGUUUCAUUUGACUGGAAACAGUUGGAGAUCCGCAAGGAUGGUUACACAGCUGCUGCAUGGCUGUCGUCAGCUCGUGCCGUGGGGUGUUCCCUUAAGUGGGAGAACGAGCGCAACCCGUAUCCGAUGUUAUACGUGUCAUCGGAGACUGCCCCGAUUCUUGUCGGGGAGGAAGGAACGGACGACGUCAAGUCAGCACGGCGCUUAUGACCUGGGUUACACACACCCUACAAUGGCGAAAAACAAUGGGACGCAAACCGGUAACGGCAAGCAAAUCUCCUAUAAAUUUCGCCUCAGUUCAGAUUGAGGGCUGCAACCCGCCCUCAUGAAGUCGGAAUUGGUAGUAAUCGCGAAUCAGCAGGUCGCGGUGAAUACGUUCUCGGGUCU
rnacentral:rRNA from 1 species